GGGUUGGUGGUCUAGCUUGGCUAUGAUACUUGGUUUGGGUCCAAGUGGUCAGGAGUUCAAAUCUCCUCCAGCCCACCA
rnacentral:tRNA from 1 species